rnacentral:rRNA from 1 species
UGAGGAAUAUUGGUCAAUGGACGGAAGUCUGAACCAGCCAAGUAGCGUGCAGGAUGACGGCCCUAUGGGUUGUAAACUGCUUUUGUAUGGGGAUAAAGUUAGGGACGUGUCCCUAUUUGCAGGUACCAUACGAAUAAGGACCGGCUAAUUCCGUGCCAGCAGCCGCGGUAAUACGGAAGGUCCAGGCGUUAUCCGGAUUUAUUGGGUUUAAAGGGAGCGUAGGCUGGAGAUUAAGUGUGUUGUGAAAUGUAGACGCUCAACGUCUGAAUUGCAGCGCAUACUGGUUUCCUUGAGUACGCACAACGUUGGCGGAAUUCGUCGUGUAGCGGUGAAAUGCUUAGAUAUGACAAAGAACUCCGAUUGCGAAGGCAGCUGACGGGAGCGCAACUGACGCUUAAGCUCGAAGGUGCGGGUAUCAAACAGGAUUAGAUACCCUGGUAGUCCGCACAGUAAACGAUGGAUGCCCGCUGUUGGUACCUGGUAUCAGCGGCUAAGCGAAAGCAUUAAGCAUCCCACCUGGGGAGUACGCCGGCAACGGUG